UUCUCCAUUCCAAUUUCUUCUUCUUUCUCCCCUCAGAGCACCUUCACAAUCACAUUUGAUGUCUCUUACAAGGCCUUCCUGGGAGAUAGGUUGCUUAUGAGAGCCAAUGCAAGCAGUGAGAACAAUAAGCCUGGAACCAACAAGACUGCCUUCCAGCUGGGACUCCCAGUGAAAUACACUGUGUAUACAGUGAUCCUCAGGUACUAAAUCCUUAACCUUUCCCUUGGCCCUUCCACCUUCCUUUAAGCCCAGUACUUCUUACUCAACUGGUUCUCCUUGUAAUGAGAGUCUGAAUCAGCCUGUUUUAUGGUAGUUGGCUGAGGCAGGAUCCUACAAAGAAAAGCUGUAUAAUUCUCCCAUAAAAGGGCCUGCCGCCAGGACGUGCACGCCUCUUCACCGUAGUUAACCUCUUCUUCCUCAGUAUUCAAUCUUCCUAUCACACAGACCUUUCCUUGGUGCUAGACAUGAGCAAGCCAAGUGAAGCUACUAGAUUGAGGUCAAGACUUUUCUGGGCAUUGUGUACUGGGAGCUUGCCCUAGCAGGACAGGUCUGUCAUCACACAGAGGCCAGACAAGGUCAGAGGAGGGUGGAGCUGGCCUGACAGACCAGUGUAAAGCUGCUGCUAUGGGUUUUGAAGGUGAGUAGGUGAGCAGGGGCAGGGCAGGCUGGAAGCAAACAAGGGGCUGUACUCCAUCCAGGUGGCGGAGAACUGUGUGGAAGCCGUGAGAAUACCCUGGACAGGGCUUGGGGCUGUGGCUGCUGAGUAUUGUCAACGACAUGACCCCAUGCACUGCGUGCCUGAGUUUCCUCUUUUAUUCCCUAGGAAAGCAC
rnacentral:lncRNA from 1 species